CCUCCGGUUAAACACUACCAAUACAAAUCUCCACCUCCUCCUGUUAAGCAUUACUCUCCCCCUCCAGUUUACCAUUCUCCACCACCACCUAAAAAACACUACGAAUACAAAUCCCCUCCUCCUCCGGUCAAGCAUUAUUCUCCACCACCGGUUUAUCACUCUCCACCACCACCAAAAAAGCACUACGAGUACAAAUCCCCUCCUCCUCCGGUUAAGCACUACUCUCCACCACCGGUUUACCAUUCUCCACCACCACCAAAGAAGCACUAUGUGUACAAAUCCCCUCCUCCUCCGGUUAAGCACUACUCUCCACCACCGGUUUACCAUUCUCCACCACCACCAAAGAAGCACUAUGUGUACAAAUCCCCUCCUCCUCCGGUUAAACACUAUUCUCCUCCUCCUGUUUACCAUUCUCCACCACCACCCAAGAAGCACUAUGUGUACAAAUCUCCACCCCCACCUGUUAUGCACUACUCUCCCCCACCAGUCUACCAUUCACCACCACCACCCAAAAAACAUUACGUAUACAAAUCUCCUCCUCCUCCGGUUAAACACUACUCACCACCUCCAGUUUACCAUUCCCCACCCCCACCUAAAAAGCAUUAUGUCUACAAAUCUCCUCCACCACCGGUUAAACACUACUCUCCUCCCCCGGUUUACCACUCUCCACCACCACCAAAGAAACACUACGUGUACAAAUCACCUCCUCCUCCAGUUAAGCACUAUUCUCCACCUCCAGUUUACCACUCUCCACCACCACCAAAGAAACACUACGUGUACAAAUCACCUCCUCCUCCAGUUAAGCACUAUUCUCCACCUCCAGUUUACCACUCUCCACCACCACCAAAGAAACACUACGUGUACAAAUCCCCUCCUCCCCCGGUUAAGCACUACUCCCCUCCUCCAGUUUACCAUUCCCCACCCCCACCAAAGAAACACUACGUCUACAAAUCUC
rnacentral:lncRNA from 1 species